rnacentral:rRNA from 1 species
AUUGAACGCUGGCGGAAUGCUUUACACAUGCAAGUCGAACGGCAGCACGGACUUCGGUCUGGUGGCGAGUGGCGAACGGGUGAGUAAUGUAUCGGAACGUGCCCAGUCGUGGGGGAUAACGUAGUGAAAAUUACGCUAAUACCGCAUACGAUCUAUGGAUGAAAGCGGGGGACCUCAAGACCUCGCGCGAUUGGAGCGGCCGAUAUCAGAUUAGGUAGUUGGUGGGGUAAAGGCCCACCAAGCCAACGAUCUGUAGCUGGUCUGAGAGGACGACCAGCCACACUGGAACUGAGACACGGUCCAGACUCCUACGGGAGGCAGCAGUGGGGAAUUUUGGACAAUGGGCGAAAGCCUGAUCCAGCCAUUCCGCGUGCAGGAUGAAGGCCCUCGGGUUGUAAACUGCUUUUGUACAGAACGAAAAGGUUUCUACUAAUACUAGGAGCUCAUGACGGUACUGUAAGAAUAAGCACCGGCUAACUACGUGCCAGCAGCCGCCGUAA